UAGUCUUCAGAAAGGAGACCCAACCUUUCCCCCAAUUAAUCUCAUUUUUCUGCUAUAUCUAUUUAUCCUUUUUCUUUUAAAGAUAUUAUCAGUUUUAAAUAUUUGGGCCACUUGAGUGUAGUGGUGCAGGUGCAGUGGCCUCCACUGCUGCUAUUCACAACACCCAGAGGACAGCAAUCAGGUUCACACCUGAGAUAGGGGAAAAGUGGCACAACAGUUCCCCUACUUCAUUACUCAAGCCUGGGUGGUUUAGCUCUAAGAAGCAGCAGCAAGGAGUGAAGUUUGUUUUUGAAAGCAAACUAACUAGCUGGGAACCUGGCAUGCUGGUCUGUCUGAGCUCUGCAGUUUCCCUCUUCUUCCUUACAACUCUUCUACCCUCUUCAGUUCAGGUUUUCAAUUCUAUAUCAAUUAAGAAACCACAUUUUGGUUUUGAGUGACUAGCUUUUAGUUUUAUUUGUAAGCCAGUAAAAGAAGACUGCAAAUCUUCAUCCUUCUUUGGAAGGACUGAUAUGAAUAAAUAGGUGUUAGUUGAGUAUCUGGUAACUGCCAAAACAGAAGAUACGAAAUGUGGAGAUGCAUGCUCUGUCUGGAAGGCUUCGAAAGACCAGCUCCUGUGUUCUGCCACUACCCUAGAGAAAUCCCUGUGUACUUAUUUGCUCUUGGAAACAACAAAUUGCUGUCUGAAGCCAUGGGAGUCCCUGCCUCUGUCUGCUACAGUACCAUAUGUAAGUGCAGUCAUACUCCACCUCAGUGCUCCUCCUCACCCCCUGGGUUUUUUUUUUUUUUGCUUGUUUUUCUGCUUCAUUUAUUGAUAGCUAAUGUGAUCCUUGUGACUACUACUUGUGCUAGGAUAAAUGGCAAAUAAUCCUGCUUUAAAACCCCAGAAUUUAUAAGCAGAUCAUAAGACUGAAGUAUGCAAGACUGAUUAUUGGGUGUCUUCUGUCUGUGGCUUUGUUUCAGCCCUGUAGAAG
rnacentral:lncRNA from 1 species